rnacentral:sRNA from 1 species
GCAUGUAUCGAUCGUUCCUGAGCACGUG